rnacentral:rRNA from 1 species
AGUGAACGCUGGCGGUAGGCCUAACACAUGCAAGUCGAACGGCAGCACAGUAAGAGCUUGCUCUUACGGGUGGCGAGUGGCGUACGGGUGAGGAAUACAUCGCAAUCUACUUUUUCGUGGGGGAUAACGUAGGGAAACUUACGCUAAUACCGCAUACGACCUACGGGUGAAAGCAUGGGAUCUUCGGACCUUGCGCGAUUCAAUGAGCCGAUGUCGGAUUAGCUAGUUGGCGGGGUAAAGGCCCACCAAGGCGACGAUCCGUAGCUGGUCUGAGAGGAUGAUCAGCCACACUGGAACUGAGACACGGUCCAGACUCCUACGGGAGGCAGCAGUGGGGAAUAUUGGACAAUGGGCGCAAGCCUGAUCCAGCCAUACCGCGUGGGUGAAGAAGGCCUUCGGGUUGUAAAGCACUUUUGUUGGGAAAGAAAAGCAGCAGGUUAAUACCCCGCUGUUCUGACGGUACCCAAAGAAUAAGCACCGGCUAACUUCGUG